rnacentral:rRNA from 1 species
AUUGAACGCUGGCGGCAUGCCUAACACAUGCAAGUCGAACGGGGCAGCAAUGCCUAGUGGCGGACGUGUGAGGAAUACGUAGGAAUCUGCCCUUAAGUGGGGGAUAACCAGGGGAAACCCUGACUAAUACCGCAUGAUCUCUUCGGAGCAAAGCGGGGGACGGCAAGCCCUCUCGCUUCGGGAUGAGCCUACGUCUGAUUAGCUAGUUGGUAGGGUAAAGGCCUACCAAGGCGACGAUCAGUAACUGGUCUGAGAGGAUGAGCAGUCAGACGGGAACUGGGACACGGUCCGGAGUCCUACGGGAGGCAGCAGUGGGGAAUAUUGGACAAUGGGCGCAAGCCUGAUCCAGCAAUGCCGCGUGUGUGAAGAAGGCCUUCGGGUUGUAAAGCACUUUAGCCUGGGAAGAAAAAACUUUGGUUAACACCCAAAGUCUUGACGGUACCAGGAGAAUAAGCACCGGCUAACUCUGUGCCAGCAGCCGCAGUAACAC